UCACGUACCCUUUGACCCUUCUUAGUUCAAACAAAUGAACUAAAAAUUUAAAGUGACACAACUUUUUGAAAAACUAGCUCAUUUGUUUGAACUAAGAAGGGUCAAAGGGUAUGCAG
rfam:Brachypodium distachyon strain Bd21 chromosome 5, whole genome shotgun sequence.